rnacentral:rRNA from 1 species
UACGGAAGGCAGCAGUGGGGAAUAUUGCACAAUGGGCGCAAGCCUGAUGCAGCCAUGCCGCGUGUAUGAAGAAGGCCUUCGGGUUGUAAAGUACUUUCAGUCGUGAGGAAGGUGUUAAGGUUAAUAACCUUAGCAAUUGACGUUAGCGACAGAAGAAGCACCGGCUAACUCCGUGCCAGCAGCCGCGGUAAUACGGAGGGUGCGAGCGUUAAUCGGAAUUACUGGGCGUAAAGGGCACGCAGGCGGUUAAUUAAGUUGGAUGUGAAAUCCCCGGGCUUAACCUGGGAAUGGCAUUCAAGACUGGUUAGCUAGAGUCUUGUAGAGGGGGUUAGAAUUCCAUGUGUAGCGGUGAAAUGCGUAGAGAUGUGGAGGAAUACCGGUGGCGAAGGCGGCCCCUGGACAAGACUGACGCUCAUGUGCGAAAGCGUGGGGAGC